AACUGACUGGUGUGGAAAAAGUGUACGUUUUCGUCUAUCAGUCCGUGAAUAAUAAGAAGUCUAUUUUCUUCGUCGGGAAACUUGCUAACGAUGUUACCGGUGCCCCGGCUAUCGCCAACUAGAAAAAAAUGUCAAAUAUCAAAUGAUUCCAUUGUCACCUA
rnacentral:lncRNA from 1 species